rnacentral:rRNA from 1 species
CCUACGGGAGGCAGCAGUGAGGAAUAUUGGUCAAUGGGCGUAAGCCUGAACCAGCCAAGUCGCGUGAGGGAUGAAGGUUCUAUGGAUCUUAAACCUCUUUUGUAAGGGAAUAAGGUGUGGGGCGUGUCCUAUUUUGUAUGUACCUUAUGAAUAAGGAUCGGCUAACUCCGUGCCAGCAGCCGCGGUACUACGGAGGAUCCGAGCGUUAUCCGGAUUUAUUGGGUUUAAAGGAUGCUUAGGCGGCCUUUUAAGUACGAGGUGAAAGUCUGUGGCUCAACCAUGGAAUUGCCGUUGAAACUGGGGGGCUGGAGUAUGUUGGAGGGAGGCGGAAUGCGGGGUGUAGCGGUGAAAUGCUUAGAUAUCACGCAGAACCCCGAUGGCGAAGGCAGCCCGCCAAGCCAUGACUGACGCUGAUGCACGAAAGCGUGGGGAUCAAACAGGAUUAGAUACCCUUGUAGUC